rnacentral:rRNA from 1 species
CAAUGGCGUAUAUUAAAGUUGUUGCAGUUAAAAAGCUCGUAGUUGGAUUUCUGGUUGAAGCGACCGGUCGGGCGUUGAUUCGUCUGCACUGGAGUCGGUUUUGGCCAUCCUCUAGGAAAGUGCGUCUGGUAUUAAGUUAUCGGGCGUAUGAUCCUGGUCUUUUACUGUGAAAAAAUUAGAGUGUUUAAAGCAGGCCUUCGCCUUGAAUACAUUAGCAUGGAAUAAUAAGAUAGGACUUUGGUCUAUUUUGUUGGUUUGCAGACCGAAGUAAUGAUUAAUAGGGAUAGUUGGGGGUAUUUAUAUUCCGAUGUCAGAGGUGAAAUUCUUAGAUUUUCGGAAGAUAAACUUAUGCGAAAGCAUUUACCAAGGAUGUUUUCAUUAA